rnacentral:rRNA from 1 species
GAUCAUGGCUCAGGAUGAACGCUAGCGGCAGGCUAACACAUGCAAGUCGAGGGGCAGCGGGUGUAGCAAUACAUGCCGGCGACCGGCGAAAGGGUGAGUAACGCGUGAGCAACGUGCCCGUAUGUGGGGGAUAGUCGAUGGAAACGUCGCGUAAUACCCCGUAACACACGGUCUCGCAUGGGGCUGUGUUGAAAGAUUUGAUUGCAUACGGAUCGGCUCGCGUGCCAUUAGGUAGACGGCGGGGUAACGGCCCACCGUGCCGACGAUGGCUAGGGGUUCUGAGAGGAAGGUCCCCCACAUUGGAACUGAGACACGGUCCAGACUCCUACGGGAGGCAGCAGUGAGGAAUAUUGGACAAUGGCCGGAAGGCUGAUCCAGCCAUGCCGCGUGCGGGAAAAGGGCGGCCCUAUGGGUUGUAAACCGCUUUUGCGGGGGAGCAAUAAGGUGCACGUGUGCACCGAUGAGAGUACCCUGCGAAUAAGCAUCGGCUAACUCCGUGCCAGCCGCUGC